AGCACAUAAGGGUGAAAGUUUGACGAAAGUUGAAAAGGAAAGUGUGGUUAAUUGAGAUAGAUCUGCUGAUUCACCUGUAAAUUUUCACAAUCAAAGAGAUGCAGGUGAUGCAGGAAAGCAGGAAGGAUGAGAGACAAAGGAAAUGGGAGAAAGAGUAGGGGAGCAAAAAAGAUCCUGGUAGUCAUAAAUAGGGGAACAGAGAUUAACAGGGAGAGGAAAAAGGAAGGAGGAGGGGAGGAAGAAGGAAGGGACCAGCAGUCUGUAAGGUACAAAAGAGAAAGUGAGGGUGGGAGAGACGGAACGGGUGCAAGAGGAAGGAAGGAGUGGAGGAACGGUCUUGUUCCAGUGGAGACGGGGGGAAGGCAAGCUUUUACACACAACUACAUGAUUUACCUGCACUUGUAAUGUAGCUCUAAAUAAAUGCCCAAUACGUUUUUUAGGGUUUUUUUUGUUUUGUUUUGUUUUGUUUUGUUUUCAGUUGUUUUUCAUAGACAAGCUUGUUUUCUCAUUACUACUUGUCUCAUAUGUAUUAAACUAUUGGCAGUGCCAGCAGCAAACUCACUGAAUCCUCCUCUGUCUUUUCUACUUUAUGGUUCACAAACUACUGUUAAAGGAGGCAAUACACCAAUAUGAGUUUGGGAUGUAAAAUCAAUAUAAACAUUUAGAUUUUUAGAAUUUACCUGUUGUUCUCCAGUGUUGUACAAUGGGUGCAACAGUAGUGGAAUAAUUAUACACUGCUUGAUCAGCAAUAUAAAAAGCAUUGAGGUAUGCAAAAUUAAAUGAGAAUUAGGCAUUUUAUUCAGCUUUGGGAAAUACAGGUGAGCUAGGUGAGUGGAAAUAAAUGCAUGAUAAAGUGAGGAUGGGGAGCUAGAAAGGAAUUGGAAUUGAAUUUUUAUUUUUUUCAAACAGGAAUUUUAGCGUUUUUUCCCCUCCCAGAUUGAGCUUUGGAGGGUCAGAAAUGAGGGAGUUGGAGGGGAUACAGAUCAAGUGAGGAGGUGAGAAGGGAGGAAGGAAAGGAUGAAAAGGAGAAGAUAGCCGGAUGAUAUGAGGUGGGAGAGAGUGGGAAUUGGUGGGAGACAGGUACUGGCAAGCAUUUGGGAUGUACAGGCGGGAGGGAGGCUGGAAAGAGAGCGGGAGCACAGGAUUUGGGAAGGGAGGGAAGUAAAGGGAUAAGUAGCCAAAUGAGUUAAGGGACAAAGAGACAGGGCACAUUGACAGGAUGGGUGUGUGUGUCUGUGUGUGUGUGUGUGUGUGUGUGUGUGUGUGUGUGUGUGUGUGUGUGUGUGUGUGUGUGUGUGUAUCCCAAAAGGUGCUCCCCACUCUCUAAGCCGAGGUCAAACAUUACCAGGAGACUGUCAUCCAUGUCUCUUUCCUAACAAGUCUGCAACAAAUGGCCUCUAUGGGAUACACACACUCACACACAAGCAUACAAACACGCACACACUUGACCAAACCUAUUCCAACAUCCUUCAUUACUGAAGCCAAUGAUGUCAAGGCGGGUUCGCUCAACCUGGCCCCUUAUGAUGCAUAUUUUUCUCAUCCUUAGCUAUCCCUUUCUCCCUCUAUCUGUAAUCCACAUGGGUCAUGCCUUCACUUCUUUAUCUCCCCUAAACAAAGAAAGAAGAACUAAUGAACUGCCAGGCAAAAGCAGCAAAUACACACACACUGCGGUGAUCAGGCUGGAUUAAUGUUUAUGGUAGUGGUACAGCAUGAAAGAGGGAGGGAUGGGGCAGAUUGCAGUGGGGCUUUGGAGUGUGUAUGUCUGUGUGCACGCAUGCCUUUGUUUGUGUGUGUUUUUUUCAUGUGGCGGGGGUGUUGCUGGGGCUCAGGGUCUAAAUAAUUUGGCAGAAACAUCAUCCAUAAUGAAAGGCUCACCUGAGGGAUGUGUAUCGCCCCCGGCAGUGCUUGUUCUGCGGCGUUGCCCAGGCCUCCCGCAAAAGAAGCCGGGCACAGGCGCCGUAGAGCUGGCUGAGGGGAUCAGUGGUGGAGGUGGUGGUGUGGCAAAGAGAUGGGGAGGGGCUCCAGCAAUGUAAAGCCAGGAGAUUUAGAAUUCAUGUGAUUAAUAUCAUAAACAGCUGAGUGUGUGUGUGUGUGUGUGUGUGUGUGUGUGUGUGUGUGUGUGUGUGUGUGUGUGUGUGUGUGUGUGUGUGUGUGUGUGUGUGUGUGUGUGUGUGUGUGUUAUUGGCUGUGAGAAGGUUGAUACACACAUUUACCUGAGGGAAUGUGCAUAUGUGUGAAGCAGUGAGAAAGCAGGUGUGUAUUUACACUACCAGCAGAGCCAAUUAAUAAGCAUUGUAGAGAAAUGAGGCAUGAAAGUAGCUCUGUGCUGGCUGCUGAACAUAAAGAUGAGACUUCCCCUCUUCAUUAGCUUUAUAUAAGCUCUUACACUGGUCACUGAGCUCUCAGCUGGGUCUAAUAUGAAUACAGUGUAUGCAAUAUGCCACAGUUCAAAGCAUAAUUUAUUUGCCAUAACCAUGAUUCCCUAUAAUCUUAACCAUACUGUAGUUGCCAUUUAAGUAAUGGAGGUUUAGUAGCACAGUAUGUAUUCCUCUCUCUCUCUUUCUCCCUCUCUCUUUUUCUUUCCCCAACAUUUUGUAUGUCUUGAUUUUUCUCAGUAUUUCUCCCUCUAUCUACAACCCCUCUCUCUCUACAUCUCUCUCUCUCUCUCUCUCUCUGUGUGUGUGUGUGUGUGUGUGUGUGUGUGUGUGUGUGUGCGUGGAUGGACAAUCAGUCACCUUCUCCCCGCCAGAAGACCUCUUAGUUAAGCCAGUUGUCGAUAAAGACAGGGAUAUAGAUGUCACUCCAGCUGAGAGGAGACACUUGUCCUGAUCUGUGUGUGUGCUUGCUCUCAGAGUUAGACAUCGUCUUGCACUUUUUUCCCAUUCUUUUUGUAAUUCCUCUCUGUCCCUCUGUCUUUAUCUUUCUCUUUCUAUUGCUUUUGUCUCUCCCCUGUCAUUCUUUCCAUGUCUUAGCUGAAGGCGUUCGCCUUCUAUCAAGAAGGAGAUUAUCACUCUACAAGCAUUGAUCUCUUUAGUGUUUAGUGUAGGGCAGUGAACAAUGAUUGUGUGCAGAGAUAGUCACACACAUUAAAGGCAGAGAGAGAGUGAGUGUUGCCUGGGUCAGAGUUCAGUAAAGAAUUACUACUACUAGUUGUCUGGUGUCAGAACACUGUUAAUGGGACUUUGAUUUCCUUUAAAAGGCUUAAAAGCUUAAUAGAAAGACUGCAGGUGACAGGUAAGCCCCAAGGUGAGGACCGGGUCACAAGUUCAAAUUCAGACUAUGAAAAAAGGGUCUUUUUUUUCUUUCCUCCAAUGACAUCAGAGAGGCAUUUAAAUCCUGACUGCACUUUCUCAGUGUUCCACAAUAAAAAAGGCUGUGUUGCAGGUUUAAGGAGUAUAAAAAGAACGUUAUCCAAGUGAAACCAAGAAAAAAUAGUUCUUCCUAAAAUGAAGUUCUGUGAUAGUGUACUUUUGGGUUUGAGGUUGAUUUCUGCUCUGUGAAGCUGCAUUGACACUAGUACACUUAAAAAUAGUUAAAUAAGUCACAGUCUAUUAACUAUGCAACUUGUUUCCUUUGGGUUGGUUUUAAUGUAGAAAUAGGUUAUAAAAAACUGCAUUAUACAUUAAUUCAAUUGGUUACUAUAAGUGAUUCUAUGUUUAGUCUGAAACCUCGAACUCUGAUCCUUAAAUAAACUGACCCAUAUUAUUAUAUAUGUUUUUUCAUCUGCUUAUUCCACCAUUUCAUUUGAACUAUAUCAAUUCAGUAACAACUGACAAUUAUUUACAUCACCAAUUGAUGUAUUCAUUAUUUUCUCAAUGAAUCAAUGAAACAUUUGGUCAAAAAAAUAUCAGAACAUAAAUAUUCAACACAAUUUCUAAAAGCCCAAGAUGACACAUUCAUCAUAUUCAUUGCUUGCUUUAUCAAACCAACAGUCCAAAACCCAAAGACAUUUUGUUUUAUAUCAAAGCUGAAAAAUAAAAAUAUAUAAAUAUUCACUUUUUUUGGGCAUGUUUGCAACAUUUGCUAAUGUUGGCUGUUCUUUAUCCACCAGGUGAUCAGAAAUCAGUUGUGUUGUCCAUUUAUAAGAAACUUAGACAGCUAGUGAUUCAAGAGCUGCCUCAGCACCACAUUAGCUGUCUGUCAAGUGAUUAGUCAAGCUCUGAGCUUAGAGUUUAGAGACACCCACCCAUUCAUCCAUCCCUCCUGCCCUCCAUCCCUCACCACCCGUCCAGCCCUCUGUGGUGUCUUUUCUCUCAUUGCUCUCAUUGCUCUGCCCUUUCACUCUCUUUUUUUCACAUCCAUCUUUGUACGCCUCGAUCUAUCGCAACCCCAUCCCCACCUCCACCUCCAUUGCUCAUUGUUUAUCUUCGACCCCAUCAGAAUCACCAUUUAUCUCUUUUCCUGCCUCCGUCAACUUUUCUUCUACCCCUCCCCUCCUUAAAAUGUCUUAACUACAGUCAUUUUCAUUUGUGUUGAGUUUUCAUAUGUACUGUAUAAACAAAGAAAAAUUGAAUAACUCUUCAUAGAAUAAACUGUCUAUAAAAUAAAAAAUAAAAAAAUAAGUUUUUGUUUUUUUUCAAAGCUGUGAAAGUCAUUCAUUUAUAAAAAAUAUUUAACAAAUGACUCAAAAUAGUUUUUUACCUUAUCUUUCUUAAUUGCUUCAACCCACCUCUCCAUUUACACCCUGAACCCCCAACCCUAUGCUAGGACACAUCUCUCAUUAGCAUGUUUAACGUGCCGCGCACCGAAGGCAGACUUUUUAUAUUUUGUGCACUUCGAGGUCAGACACCAAUCUGCUGACAACAACACAAACACAGCAAACGUGAUUAACCUUGAUGAAAAAGACAGGUAUUCUCUCUCUCUAUUUCUCUAUUAUAUUUGUCUCUACUCACAAUGAGAGAGGGAGAAAAAAAAAACAUUAUUCCCAGACAGGUAUGUCCUAAUUAAGCAACAGACGAGGCUGCUCAGAAUCAAUGCCCUUAUCCCUGGCCAGUGAGCAGGGGAGCUUGCUAAUUCAUGCACACCGCCCCAACAUCUCCCCCCAUAAAGCCUGGCAAAUAUUCAUUUCCUGAAACGAACCGAAUCAUUUAGAAUUCGGGCGGGAAUUGAUUAACAUCAGGAGGUAGCGACGGCUCAAUAUUUACACCCACUGAGACCAAUGUAGGGGCCAAAUAAUGGAGCAUAUAACCGACACAACACCUUACAACUUCAUUAAAUGCAACAUAAUAGGGACUUUUUUUUCUUUUUUGUGCUGGCUGCUGUGUGGGAGCUAAGCUUUCUGCUUUCCAGUAAGUCAACAGGAUAGAGUCAUCCUGUGUACCUUUGACCUGAUCAAUACACAAAUAAAGUAUGGUUAAUGUCUGUAAGGGUUUUUAGGCUCUGGCCUGCAGGAAACCUUUACUCAACACAAAAUGUGAUGUUUUUUUCCGGCAUUUUUCUUGGCGUCAGUCGUUGGACAGUGGGUGUGAAGCCCUCAUCCUCUGCUGUGUGUCUGUUUGGCCGAGGGUGGGGUUGAGCUACAAAUACACACGCAGAGCAGAGAGGCCAUAGUGGACAGGCGUUUGCUCUUACUGCAUUCACACAAAAUCCGGCAGUGCGGCAGCGGCACUUUCCCGCAGGAUGUUUCUGCGGAGGUGUGAACGUGUUUAUUUCUAUUUUAGACAGGGAAGAAACAGAAAAAGACGAAACAAAGAAAUGUGACAUAAGUCAUGCUUUGUUUGUGUGUGUGUGUGUGUGUGUGUGUGUGUGUGUGUGUGUGUGUGUGUGUGUGUGUGUGUGUGUUUGUGUGUGUAUGUACAGGCAUGCAGUCCCUAUGCUGUUUGUGUGUCUCACAAAUUACAUAGUCAGUGACUGGAUUGGUGCAAUGACAGCAGUAAUGGAAAAUACAGUAGUGGUGAUUGCAGGGUGGGGGGGUCUACGACUAUAAAUGUAUGUAUAAGGUUCAUAAAGUGCAAUCCAUGCACGCAGUGACUGCAUCUAGUGCUUUUUCAUCACUCUAUUUUGAAGCAUGGUGAAGUGCUCUGCAAACACUUGCUGAUUGAAAAGUAUUGGACUCUGAUCUACUUUUCAAACAAAUCUUUUUACCACCCAUCAGCUUCCUUCAGACAUCAUUCUAACACAGGCUAAAAACAAACAAAACAAAAAAAUCCCCUAGCAGUCGCUCAAACUUUGUCCCUGACAGAGCCAAACCCAGCUAAUCAUGUUUGAGUGUCCUGGCUUUUCUUUCAUUUUAUUUUAUCUCAUCAGGAGUAGGUGGAAGUGUGCCCUAAAGCAAUGAACCUAAUACUUCUACUGGAUGUGAAAAGUGCCCUGAGAUAACUUCUGUUGUGAUUUGGCGCUAUAUAAAUAAAUUGAGUUGACUUGACUAUUUUCUGUCAGUUUUAGCCUAAGAAAUCUAACAUGGCGAGCAGUCAGCUCCUGAUGCCGGCCGCCACUUUGUAGGGAAUUCCAUGUAAUGAGGCUGCCUAAAAGGCUUUCAGACUUUAUCAAGCAAUAAAAGCUCCAGGUCUCCAGCCUGCCACUAUUACCUACUGCAACAGCAGUUGUGGUGAGCUGUGACAGUGAUGGUGGGGAUAUUGAGGAUUGCUGCCUCUCGCCCAUGACCUGACUCCCCCUUUAGCCUCAGUCUUACAUCUCACCUGAGAUACUUUGUAUUUUCCCGAUGGACACUGGACAUUGCUCGGACUAUCUCCAAAGUAUCUUUGAAUUUACAGCUAAGGUUUGUCUCUUGUCUUCUAUUUUUAGGUCUUGCAACAAAUUAUAUGGCGAUUAUGUUGACACUGUUCUUUAUCUGGUUUCAAAUAAGGCCAGUUAUCAGAGAGUAAAUCAACAUAAUUGCCAGGUUUAUUUGGAGGAGGAUUUGUGAAUGGACAGAUAUCAGUAUUAAACACUUAAGUGAUAAGUGAUAAGACAAAAAGCCAAGUCAUUGUUGUUCUUCAUGGUAGAUAAAGAGUGUAAUCUACUAGUGUCAAAGGAGGUAACUUGGCAUUAAUAAAUAAACAUAUGUAUUAAUUAGUGCUGUAAACCAUAGUCAAGAAAGAAUCAACACAAUUUCUCUAUAUAAAAACAUAUGUUGAAUUAAAUCUCAACUUCUUCAAAUUCUUUAGAGAGCUAGACUUACAACAAAUAUGAAAAGCAACACAUUAUAGCACACAAUGGAGGCUACGAGAGGUAUUUAGUUAUUAGUUUCCAAACUUCAUCAGUUUUCCAAAAUCUAUAUAAAGUCGUAAAUGUGGAAUUACAUCACUUCAACGACCUUUCAUUGCCUGACAUGAUGUGCAUCUUAAAGUAGAUUAUACAGAACUGUACCUGCUUUUCUCCAUAGUGUUCCUCACAGCUCACAGCCCAAAAAUUGGGUAAAAUGAUGCUUUUCUUUAGAUAAGACAUUGGUGCACAACAUGCAACUCCAUUGCAGCAGGGCAAUGGUAAAGCCGGCCAUGGUAAAUUCUCUCACCAUCAAACAUUAGUUUUGCAAAACUAGUAAUCAAACUGUCCACACCUAGUAACAGCCAUAACACAAGCAGCCCAGCUCUGCACUCCUGCAUGAAUACAGUGACGGCUGCAUGGUGGCAGGAGGAUUUAAUACACACUUUAACUCAGUGCCCCGCCAAAGCAAUAUAGGAAAUAUCCUCUAAACUUCUGCUCCCCUCCAUCAAUACACUCACUAACUACUGUAGUGUUGAGUACAACCAGACAAAUGCUCCUGUAAAAGUUUUUUUUACAAAAGAAAAAACCUUUUCCUCUCCUCUUCCUCCUCCUUUGCUUUUCUCCUGCGCUCCCAGGUGGGGUGAUUUAAGGCGGGCAAGCUAUAGAUGUAGGGAGAAAUUGUUGCCCUCCAUCUCUCUCCCCCUGCCCUCCCUCUCAUUCUCUCUCUCCCUUGGCCUUAUUACAGGCUGUCAGUUUAUUAUAAAACAUUAGGAAAGCAGAGGGACACUUGCAGUUACUGUCCUAUCGAUCGGCAGGGAUAGAUCCUGUGAUUUAGAGUCAGCCUCUGCUCGCGCCCUCCACAUUCUCGGUCUCCUAUUAAGGCACCAGUGCUUUGCUUCAGCUAUUGAUGUCUCAACAUUAACAGUUACAAGCUGCUACAGAAAAUCAAUGCUCAACUUUUAUUACCAGCUGCAUAACGCAGAGGACCUCCCGCCAGCUGGUACUUAGCAGUCGAAAGGAGGUGCGGAUGAUCCGCCCAGCACAUCAGGUGUUUUCUAAGUGAUAUCUGCAGUAAUAUCAAUCAUGUGUAGACCAUACGGGGGCUUUCAGGGGCCAGUUGAGAGCCUCAGAACUUAAGGGCACAGCACACAAAGGUGUAACCUGCCAAACAAAUUAAUACAUGCUUCAAAUUUCUGUUCAGGGGUAGCAGAUGAUAUUUGCAAAAUGAGAAUGUAAAACAUGCAAAGAAGUUUUGAUAUGAUCUGCACACAACACUGUCGUCAUCACACGCACAGUUCUCUGCCACAAAAACACACACACAUACCACCUAAAUGUCAUCAAGCUAAAAUAACGAUCGACCCCCUCAUCCAACACCACCACCGGCCAACCAUGCAUCCAUCAUCAGCAUCAACCUGGAUGUGUAUGUGUGUUGUAACAGAGAAUCUACACCCAGGUAGUGUGGAUCUGGAGCGGCUGAGGCCUCUCAAACAUUUAUGAGGGGCUCCAGAGCAGCGGUGCGGCAGCCCUUCUGGGACAAACAGCCCCCGGUUCUGUGCUCUCAGUCCCGAUCAAUGGAACUCAAGUUCAUUACACACACUUUUCAGCCGAACGGUGGCAACUGAUUUUUUUCCCCCUCAUCCGAUCGUCGAGCAGCCCACCGCUGGGGCUGCAUUACACUUGCUUGUUUACGUGACUGCGUGUACAGGGGAAGGCGGGGGCAGGGAGUGUGUACCGGUGUGCAUUUGUGUGUAGAGUCUAUUUUUGUGUGUGUGUGCAGGGGCUGCUCCCAAUGGCCUGAGCUUGAGGUUAUCAUUAUGUACAGGUCGGACCGCUGCAAUGCUAAUGCUAAUGCAUUCUCAGUGGCCACAACUUGGGUCCCGGCGCUGUACUAGCUAGGUAGCUACUCCUCUCCAAUUAAAGGCUGAGGGAUGUCUGUUUGGGGUGAGGAGGACAGACCAGGGCUAUCUGGGAUCCCGUGGAGAACAGGCUAAUAUUAGUUGAGGAAAACAGACUAGGAGAACAAAUUGUGCCUACAUUGGAGUGCUGCAGAAAAUCCCACUCUUGAUUUGAAUGAUUUGUGAAAUAGAUAUCACACAAGUCACUGGCUGUGAUCAUUGCAGUUGAAUAAUUUGUUCAAAAUACCUAUUGUACAUCUUAUUAUCUUAUUGCAAUUACAACUGGUCUCAAACCUAUUUUUCACUCUUGCCAUGAAAGGUAAAGUUACUAAUUUCAUAAGUGAAUUGAAAACAGCCAUUUUAAGUUUUGUUUUGAGCCUAAAAACCAUUGUCGCAAGACCAUCAUAAACUAAGAAAGGCAAACCGCAAACAAAUCUGAGCUGAUUCUUGCAAUCGAAAGAGCAUCAAUGUUUCACUCACAAGCUGUAGAUUUACAACAGUGCUGCAAGAUGAGGACUGUGUCUGUGUUUGUGUGUGUGUGCGUGUGUGUGUCAUUCCAUGCUCAUGCAGUGUAUUGAUCAGACCGCCAGCCUCGACCUUAUUUAAACAUUACAUACAAACAGCAGCAAAGAGUUACACAACCCUCCCUACAGAGCUGUCUCAACCAGUGAUGUUUCUCUCUCGCUCUCUUUCUUGCUUCCAUGCAAUGUAAGAAGCCAUCGCAGCUGCAUGCACACACGUACAGAUAGAGUAUCAAGUGGAAAUGACACACAUACACACACAUACAGAUACUCAUGUAAACACACAACACCAUGGGAUCCAGGCCAAAGGGUGGUGGUGUGGCCCCUCAGUCCUUAAGUGUAUCACGGGUCAGUAUCACAGGUCAAAUGUUCAAACAUACAAAUGCAAUCAGAUGGACUCCCAGCUUUACACAGCCGCUUUGUCAAUCAUUUGUAAAGUUGUAAACAUGAAUAGCAGCCCUUCACUCCUUCAAUCAAUGCCUCUGUAAAAGCUACAGUUCUAGAAUUACGACUGUCUUCCGCAGCAAAGACAAACGUUUAUGACAAGGCGUUUAUGGUCGCUAUAGCUCAUGAUGUGUCAUUAGUGUUACUCAUUGGACGAUCAUCACUAUAUGCAAAGUGUAAAAGACAUAAGCGUAAACUGAAGUCAGAUUAAUAAUUGUUGAUUACAGCCUAGUAAAGAUAAAAGUGGUGACGUACGAUAUACAUCAUUCAAAAACAUUUAUUCCAAAACAUUUGAUGUCCAUGAUGGAUAGUGAUUGAGAUUAAUCAUUUUCUAGUUUUAAAAUGUUUAAGAAAUGCUUCCAAUAUCUCAAUUUUAGUAUUUCACCAGUCUGUCAAAUGACAAAUCUAAUUUUUGGAUUAAAACAUGUCAGUUGUUGCUGAUUUCUGACUGACUUAACUCUUGCAAGUGUGUCAGCGUUCACAUGCUAAAACACUGGCAAGUAAAAAUAAUCCUCUGCAUUCACCUACUGGCCUGAUAUCACAAAUGGAGCUCUCUGGCAUCACAGGACUGCCUGGCAUGUGGAUUGUCGGCCAUUGUGUUCCUGUAUGAAUGUGUACAGUGCAGAGGCAUGUGUUUAAACUAUGGUGGUGGUAAGCUAUAUGGUAGUCAGGUGGCUGCUAUAAGAUUAUACACACUCUCCCCUUUGCUCUUUGAACUUCUGUGUGUGUGUGUGUGUGUGUGUGUGUGUGUGUGUGUGUGUGUGUGUGUGUGUGUGUGUGUGUGUGUGUGUGUGUGUGUGUGUGUGUGUGUUGUUGUUGUUUCUUUGGACAAUGUGGUUACAAGAUACUUCUGGCAGAGCAGAGAACAGUGGAGCUUUAACGUGGUGUGUGUGCGUGUGCGUGUGUAUGUGUGUGUAACCAGAGACAGUGAUUAAACGUUUUUGAAGCACAGAUGAUCCAACAGGUGCCCUGGCUCGCUGUCUCUUGUUCUUCCACCCUUUCUCACUCGCUCCCUCUCUUUGCUGAGUCCCAACCCACCCUGUGACCCCACACCCCCACUACUGAACCAUCACAGCUCCUUACUUGUCUCUUGAUUCUUGUCCUGAAGGAUAUUUUAAGCAACAAAGCCUUCUGAGUCCACUGUGUUACACACAAAGAUACACACACACACACACACACACACACACACACACACACACACACACACACACACACACACACACACACACACACAUGCAUCAGAGCUAGUCCUUGUUUUGUCUUUCUUUUAAAAGAAAAACAAAAAAACAUGGUAGUGCAAUGAAAAUGUAAGAGCUGCUGAUAAAUGUUAGAAACAGGGGUCAGGUAGCCGAGAGGAGCAGCACAUGUUAAAACACAGGAGGGCAUUAAUCAAUUGAACAUUUUCUGUACACACACAAACCUAUAGUAUUUAAAUAUAAACCUCUUCAUAUCGUCACAAAAUCAUGCUAUUUAAUUUAAACGCUUAUUCCUUGGGAUUGCCAGCCAUUUGUCAUGGUAAGCCUUGGCCUUUGUGAGCUGCCUUAGUGCAUAAAGUUGUACUUUAGUGCCACCUGGCACUGAUAUCCAAAGCUACUGUUGGCAUUAAACUGUAAGCCUGUACAUUCAAACAGUGCUCAGUGAUGAGAAUUUAUUUGACACAUAGGUAGCAAACGUAACAACCUUAAUACAGCCUGAAGCCUUAAGCCUGUACUCUAUAACCAGUCAUCAGUUCCUCAAAUAUCCAUUAAACUUCUGUUUAAGUUGUCCAGGAGAGAAAUUACAUUAAUCACAUUACUUAUGUAAUAGUAGUCUAUUAUUGAUUAAGACUCACAAGUGUUGCAUGAUAUCCCAGCAUUUUCAGCUGGUUCUUUCUUGUAGAUUAUGACAUAGUUUGGGCAUAAGCAGUUUCUCAUAUGAAUAUUUGCAGAAGCAAUUAUUUUGGUUGUUUACUUGCUCUUUUCCCUGCAUAUUCUGUUGUUUUUGGCAUUGUGUGUUUUUACAGUUAGAAAUUGAGCCAAACGUGUAAUGGAGGACACUGAAACAGGCCUAUUUUGUCUCUUAAAAUCCAUCCAACAAAACUGGUGGAACUCAAACCACAGUUGGUGCAGAACACAAACAAACACCCACAACCACAGACAAACACACUCCACAAUAUAUCUUUUUUUUUUAUUAUUCAAGCGUGUCUGUGGUUUAUCCCCAAAAUUACCCCUUUCCUCUAACUUCCUUGUAUUGUGCAUUUGAAAGUCCCAACAUUUGUUUCAGUGAAAACAUCCAGCAAAUACCCACUUUUCUAAAUCUACUCCAGCCGUGAGAGGCAGUGUGCAAACUUGUCAUCUUACAUUAACCCUGAGGGGGAGGAGAGAAGGGCUACCAGCCAUCCAAUACUUUCGAAUAAAUUAAACCCCAAUUUGCACUUAAGUUGACUCCGCUUGACACGUGACAGGGGAUGAAAAUCACACUGAGAACAAAGAAGUUAAAAGAAGGUGUGGAAAACAUGCAGCACACUCUUUCUUUAGUCAGCACUCUACCUGCUGGCUUCCAUCAUCAAAUGAGAACGGAGCAAAGGAGUAGGGAGAGAGAGCGGGGUAGAUGUGAAAUGAGAGAGUGCAGGAGAGAGGAAGGAGUGAGAGGGGAGGGGGAGAAUGACGCUAUGGAUUAACUGUCCUUCAUGCUGAAAAUAUACAUCCCCAGGCGCUUGGCGCUGAAUUAUUAAUUCAAAUUUGUCAGAGAAAGAAUGAGAGAAAUCUAUUGACGGGGAGACGGGCCCUUUAAUGGUCUCAUUAAAGGGGAGGCUUCCCACACCAGGCACCUUCUGUACUGCUGCAGGAGUUUUCGGGGUGGUGGAAGGUUGGAGAGGGGUACUUGACCCCCCAAUGAUUUUCUGUCACUUUAUCAUAAACAAGAAAGGUUGACAUGCCCCUCCACUCCCCACGCCCUCCCUACACCACCAAACAAACCCUGUGUGUAAUUAGCCAAGGGGUGCAAAAGUGCACUGAAUGUAAACGAGGUUCACACGCAUGCAUUGAUACAGACAGAUAGAGACAGCAACAACACACACACACACACACACACACACACACACACACACACACACACACACACACACACACACACACACACACAGACAUUAUAACCUGUGCCUGUGUGUACUGUUGCUGACAGGUACAAAUGAAGUGAGAAGUAAAGUGUAGAAGAGCCUCACAGGCACAGCAAUAUUGAUUUCUAAUUGUAUUUUCUUCCUUUUUAUUGCUCCAUAGAUCAUUUCUUCAUAUUACACCAAACACUGUGACUCUUUGUCCAGAUCGUUCUCUGUUACAUUUGAGCCUGUCAGUCAAGUGUUAACAUCAUUAGCUGCAUAUAGCUACAUGACUGGGAGCUGUUUUGGUGAGGGAGCUGACUGGAUUGUACAGACGUACAUUGGCAUUAGGAAGGUGAGAGAGCAGGGACAUGUGAGUGCUCCACACUGUUCGAGGGGGGGUUAACUGUCCGUACAAUCCAGACGGCAUUAAGAAGGUGAGAGAGCAGGGACCUGUGGGUGCUCCACACUAUCCGAGGUCAGCGGAGCACCUGUGGGCGCUCCACACUGACCGAGGUCGGCUCAUUGAAAGGCAUUUGGUUCCGCCUCCAGGGGGGAUAAAGAAGAAGUGGAGGGAGGGGAGACUAGAGGGACCACAGAGGGCUAAGCACUAGGUUCAUUGCUGAUUCAAGUCUCUCAGUAUCCCUCUGGCAAAUGGAUUUUCAUAAUGCUGAGACAAUGGGAUUUUUCCCCCCCAGCAAUGUGUUUUAUCCCAUGAGCCAGCAGCAUGUCAGAAAUGAACAGCACCAAAUAGGGGUGGUUGACAAAAAUAUCUUAAGCGAUGGCACAGAACAAAAAAAAAAAGAUCAUUGAUCUAUUUAUCAAGCAAAACUUUUUUAUGCUGUUCUUUGAGUAUAUACAUAAUAUAUAUUUAAAAUCAUAUAUUAAACAGAGAAAAGCUACAAUUCAUGUGAGAGGCGGGAGCAAGAAAAUGUUGUGUUGCCAUUUUGUUUGAUAAAUGUCUGUUUAAAAAAUAGUUUAUUACAAUUGUAGUAGUACCUUUCUGAGUAACUCACACCAUCUUACGGUAUGUAGAAAAUAAAUAAAUAAAAGAGCUCACCCCACUGAUAUUAACCUCCCCAGCCAUACCCAUCUGUUGAAGACCUCAAAGUCCAUAAUAACAGCCACAGACAGAACCAACUGAUACAGGAUGUAAAUUUGUUUUCCCUUUCACCUCAGGAUAAAUCCCCAGCACCUUCCAGGCAGCAUAGGCAAUGAGAGAAGCUUGUCUCCCUCCUGCUCGGAGCCCCUUCUCUCUUGUUUAUUUUAUCAUACCUAAGGCACUUUUCCCUUCCUCUCAAUAUCUCUCGACCUUUCUCCAUCGCCCCGCCAAGCUCGCCGACCCGUCCUUGGGCGACAUAAGUGAACCAACUGCUACCUGUUUAGCUUAACAACAAUAGCAAUGUUGUCGGCAGAGGUUUAGAUUUGACCUAAUAUAACCCCAACUGGAAAAUACCUGCUUAAUUCCCUUUCAUAGCCGCAUGGCAUUUGCCCCUCUGAGUGGCUAAAGGGAGAGUUUGAUGAGUCGGCCGGCAAAUGGGCCUUUAUUCUGACACACUGACAAUAGCCCAUCCCUAUUGGUGGCAUGUUUUCAGAGCCAGGAACUAUGAUGCAGUUAAUAUUAUGCAUUGUUAGCGCAAAGGAUAUUUGGCCUCUAGACAUUGGGCUCCAUGUUAGCUUAAGGGCAUUUAGCUACAGUAACUAACUGUAUUCUGGUGAAAUAAAGUCACUGUUGAAGCUGAAGGGUCACUGUUCAGGACUCAAUGAGACCUUUAUUAAAUGUUAAAAAAAAUCAUCUUCCCAAAAUCCUUUCAGUAUAUUAAAUAUAGAAUAGAAAGGCCAGUUUGAAGCUUCUUUCCUUUUCAAAAUCUUUCAUUUGAAAUUAGCUAUCUCCAACAGGUGCUUUUGGCAUUAAGUU